GACGAACGCUGGCGGCGUGCUUAACACAUGCAAGUCGAACGGAAAGGCCCUGCUUUUGUGGGGUGCUCGAGUGGCGAACGGGUGAGUAACACGUGAGUAACCUGCCCUUGACUUUGGGAUAACUUCAGGAAACUGGGGCUAAUACCGGAUAGGAGCUCCUGCUGCAUGGUGGGGGUUGGAAAGUUUCGGCGGUUGGGGAUGGACUCGCGGCUUAUCAGCUUGUUGGUGGGGUCGUGGCUUACCAAGGCUUUGACGGGUAGCCGGCCUGCGAGGGUGACCGGCCACAUUGGGACUGAGAUACGGCCCAGACUCCUACGGGAGGCAGCAGUGGGGAUUAUUGCACAAAGGGCGGAAGCCUGAUGCAGCAACGCCGCGUGCGGGAUGACGGCCUUCGGGUUGUAAACCGCUUUCGCCUGUGACGAAGCGUGAGUGACGGUAAUGGGUAAAGAAGCACCGGCUAACUACGU
rnacentral:rRNA from 1 species